rnacentral:piRNA from 1 species
UGAGAUCCCUCAAGUGGAGCCUGCUGCUG